GGUAGACUAGUGCUUCAUUCUCGCAGGGGAAGCUAGGGCAACGGUUGUGGUGUAGGUGCGCACCCGUCUGGAUUUCGCUUUAAUGCAAGAUUUCCAUAAACAGUGACGUCAUAAUUGGUUACUAUAUUUAAUGAAUAACAGAGGGGGAUUUGCGAAGCUCUCCUCUCUGGACGACCUUUGGAACGGAUGACGUCACGACCAAUGACAGUGCAGAGCUCUUGAUGCCCUGGUGGAGAAAUCAACGGACGCUUCAUUGCUUCGGGUGGAUCUCUGAGUGGCGGUCAUGCUGUUGGUGCUCUCCUCGCCACGGAUUUCGUGACGAGCGACUGUUCUUGACUGAGUGAUGUGUGUGGAAAUACUUCGGUGCCGUCCCCAUGAUGACAGCGGUGCUGCCACCUGACGUGAUGCUUUCCGACCUGCCUGGUGUGACGCUUUGCAAAUGGCGGCGCCCAUGGGCUGAUGCUGUUACCGAACCUGGACUGGCACAUUAAUGAAUUGAAUGUGUAUAGUAAUGUCUUGAAUUAUUAAAUGAGUUUAGAAAGUGCA